GUUGGAAUGAUGAACUUUAUGUCGGAUACCCCUUCACUCGUAAGAAUGAGUGAAAAAUUCCUUCUGACGAC